rnacentral:snRNA from 1 species
GUGUUUGCUUCAGCAGCACACAUACUAAAGAUGGNUGAUACAGAAAAGAUGAGUGUGGUCCCUAUGCAAGGCAGAAACAUGCAUUCAUGAAGCAUUCUAUAGUUUU